rnacentral:rRNA from 1 species
GACGAACGCUGGCGGUGUGCUUAACACAUGCAAGUCGAACGGUAAGGCCCUUUCGGGGGUACACGAGUGGCGAACGGGUGAGUAACACGUGAGUAACCUGCCCUCAUCUCUGGGAUAACAGUCGGAAACGGUUGCUAAUACUGGAUAUGAGCUUGCAAGGCAUCUUGUGGGUUGGAAAGAUUUUUUUGGUAGGGGAUGGACUCGCGGCCUAUCAGCUUGUUGGUGAGGUAGUGGCUCACCAAGGCUUCGACGGGUAGCCGGCCUGAGAGGGCGACCGGCCACAUUGGGACUGAGAUACGGCCCAAACUCCUACGGGAGGCAGCAGUGGGGAAUAUUGCACAAUGGACGGAAGUCUGAUGCAGCAACGCCGCGUGCGGGAUGACGGCCUUCGGGUUGUAAACCGCUUUCAAUUGUGACGAAGCUUUUUGUGACGGUAGCAGUAGAAGAAGCACCGGCUAACUACGUG